CCUCCAUCUCGAUCUGUUGCGAUGGCUCGAGUCGCCUGCUAGUAGCAGUUUUGCAGAGGCAGUCGUCGCGAGCUGGCGCAGCGCCUCCCACGAAAGGCGGCAGGCCGGCAGUCAACGGUGCCUCCUCCCAUCUAUUCGUGCCCAGAGAUUGAUGCUUCGAUUUUUUAGUAAUGUAGGCAAUUGGGGAUCUCACCGUUGAUCGUUCCAAGCAGCUUCACUGAAGAAAAUCGAUCUCCGCUUUGCUUAGAGACGAAUAAAAGGUCAUCGGGUUGACCUAAUCAAGCAUGACAACCAACCCCUAAAGAAAAUGUGUGCUCACUAUGCAAAUGAGUGGCAGCCUCCGCCUUCUCCUCUCACCACAUCAAACAAAUGCAAUGGUGAGGUGAUUUUCCAAGACCGCAACGGUUAGUCAAGUGAAUGUGGCUAAGGCAGAAGAGGCUUCUGACGUGAUAAUGGGUACUCUUUCAGUUAAUUUUAUUCCGGUGAAAGUUUUAUUUGAUUCAGGAGUUUCGCAUUCGUUCAUUUCAAGGCCA